rnacentral:rRNA from 1 species
AGGGCGCCACCAGGAGUGGAGCCUGCGGCUUAAUUUGACUCAACACGGGGAAACUUACCCGGCCUGGACACUGGAAGGAUUGACAGAUUGAGAGCUCUUUCUUGAUUCAGUGGGUGGUGGUGCAUGGCCGUUCUUAGUUGGUGGAGCGAUUUGUCUGGUUAAUUCCGAUAACGAACGAGACUCUAGCCUAUUAAAUAGGCUCUCGGCUUUUAAACGCCGGGAGGACUUCUUAGAGGGACAGGUGGCGGUUCAGCCGCACGAAAGAGAGCAAUAACAGGUCUGUGAUGCCCUUUGUUGUCCGGGGCCGCACGCGCGCUACACUGAAGAGAUCAGCGUGCUUUACGUUCCUGCUCCGACCGGAGUGGGGAACCCAGUGAACCUUCUUCGUGAUUGGGAUAGAAGAUUGUAAUUAUUCUUCUUGAACGAGGAAUUCCCAGUAAAUGCGAGUCAUAAGCUCGCGUUGAUUACGUCCCUGCCCUUUGCCGCACCGCCCGUCGCUACUACCGAUUGAACGAUUUA